AUUGAACGCUGGCGGCAGGCCUAACACAUGCAAGUCGAACGAGUGGCGGACGGGUGAGUAAUUUCUGGGAAACUGCCUGAUGGAGGGGGAUAACUACUGGAAACGGUAGCUAAUACCGCAUACCAUCAGAUGUGCCCAGAUGGGAUUAGCUAGUUGGUGGGGUAACGGCUCACCAAGACGACGAUCCCUAGCUGGUCUGCGAGGAUGACCAGCGACACUGGAACUGGGACACGGUCCAGAGUCCUACGGGAGGCAGCAGUGGGUAAUAGUGCACAAGGGGCGCAAGCCUGAUGCAGCCAGGCCGCGUGUAUGAAGAAGGCCUUCGGGUUGUAAAGUACUUUCAGCGGGGAGGCGUUACCCGCAGAAGAAGCACCGGCUAACUCCGUGCCAGCCGCCGCGGUAAUAC
rnacentral:rRNA from 1 species